UUAAAUGUAUUCCUCUCUCUGUUGUAGGAGGUAGAUCACAGGUGGCCGGAAGGGAGGCCCGGAGAGCAGUUCCUGGGCUACCAUUGUGUUUUAGGUGAGAGAUGGUGGUGGAGCAGCACAGAUCCAGAGAGGUUAAUGUUGCCAAGUGGUUUUUGGAAGUACAGUCAAAAGGAUCUGGUGAGGAGCAUUAAACCUGAGGAGUGCAGGAAAGAGAGGAGAAGCACGUGUUCUUCAACAGGGAAGAUGGUACAAGAAAGUUACAGACACUGCAAGAGCAUAGGCGGCCUCCGGGGCUGCAUCCUGACCCCUUGUUGGUUUU
rnacentral:lncRNA from 1 species